GGAUGGAUCUCUACAACUUACAUGUCUUGUGAUUCAUAGUUUUAGACAUAUAUUAUCAAGACUAUCUUAAUAAUAGUUUCGAAAAACCCAUAUUAUGUCCAAACAUUGAAUCACCAUUUAGUUGUAGCUAGCAAUCUUCGAAUUAAUUGAAACUAAGACUACGUCAAAAUGGUUUCCUUCAAAGUCAACCAAUUCUCUUUGAUUGUAGUCACCUUAAGCUACCAAUUAGCUUAUGAAGGUUUCA
rnacentral:lncRNA from 1 species